AGCUCCAAUAGCGUAUAUUAAAGUUGUUGCAGUUAAAAAGCUCGUAGUCUAAGUCUUGGUUGGUGUUGAGCGUCCGUGUUGUGCUUCUUUGGGUUCUGCUCAUUGAGGUACUUGCGUGCACGCGAUAUUUACACUGGCCGACGUACUUCAGAGGAGCGCUGGUGCUUUUAAUUAGGUGCCAGUGGGAUUCUGAUAGUUUACUUUGAGAAAAAUAGAGUGUUCAAAGCAGGCGUUUCGCCUUGAAUACAUUAGCAUGGGAUAAUGGAAUAGGACAUUGGUUCUAUUUUGUUGGUUUACGGACCGAUGUAAUGAUUAAUAGGGACAGUUGGGGACAUUCAUAUUCCAUGGCUAGAGGUGAAAUUCUUGGAUUCAUGGAAGAUGAACUACUGCGAAAGCAUUU
rnacentral:rRNA from 1 species